rfam:Streptomyces sp. M41(2017) strain M41 M41_contig1, whole genome shotgun sequence.
CACCGAGUCCGAGGUUCCGGUGCUCACCGGGACCUGGUGCAAAAGGGA